rnacentral:rRNA from 1 species
CCUACGGGAUGCAGCAGUGGGGAAUAUUGGUCAAUGGGCGCUAGCCUGAACCAGCCAAGUAGCGUGAAGGAUGACUGCCCUCUGGGUUGUAAACUUCUUUUAUAUGGGAAUAAAGUGCAGUAUGUAUACUGCUUUGCAUGUACCUUAUGAAUAAGCAUCGGCUAACUCCGUGCCAGCAGCCGCGGUAAUACGGAGGAUCCGAGCGUUAUCCGGAUUUAUUGGGUUUAAAGGGAGCGUAGGUGGGUUGUUAAGUCAGUUGUGAAAGUUUGCGGCUCAACCGUAAAAUUGCAGUUGAUACUGGCAUUCUUGAGUACAGGUGAGGUAGGCGGAAUUCGUGGUGUAGCGGUGAAAUGAUUAGAUAUCACGAAGAACUCCGAUUGCGAAGGCAGCAUGCUGGACUGCCACUGACGCUGAUGCUCGAAAGUGUGGGUAUCAAACAGGAUUAGAUACCCUAGUAGUC